rnacentral:rRNA from 1 species
AGCUCCAAUAGCGUAUAUUAAAGUUGUUGCGGUUAAAAAGCUCGUAGUUGGAUUUCUGCCCUGGGUGACUGACAUCUAACUCUUUCGAGGGUUGUCUGGUUGCACCUCGGCAUCUUUUCGUGGCACGUCGUUGCGCUUUACUGCGCGAUACGGGCGGCGAAUCUUUUACUUUGAGGAAAUUAGAGUGUUUCAAGCAGGUAUACGCCUUGAAUAUAUUGCAUGGAAUAAUGAUGUUGAGCUUUAGCUCUUUUUCGUUGGUUUCUGGAGCUAAGGCAACGAUUAAUAGGAACAGUUGGGGGCAUUCGAAUUGAACUGUCAGAGGUGAAAUUCUUAGAUUUGUUCAAGACGAACUACUGCGAAAGCAUUUGCCAAGGAUGUUUUCAUUGAUCAAGAACGAAAG